GGCACCCCUUUGGGAUCAUCUCGGAGNGGGCUCGCGUUUUCACACAAAACCCCCCUUUUAAAAGUGUAGAAUGACCUCAUUUAUGCGCUAACCCGCAAUCAAUACAACUUUCAACAACGGAUCUCUUGGCUCUCGCAUCGAUGAAGAACGCAGCGAAAUGCGAUACGUAAUGUGAAUUGCAGAAUUCAGUGAAUCAUCGAAUCUUUGAACGCACCUUGCGCCCCCUGGUAUUCCGAGGGGCACACCCGUUUGAGUGUCGUGAAAACCUCAACCUCCUUGGUUUCUUCUGGAGACCAAAGCAGGCUUGGACUUUGGAGGCCUUUGCUGGCACCUCUCGCCAGCUCCUCUUAAAUGAAUUAGCAGGGUCCUCUUUGCUGAUCCUCGACGUGUGAUAAGAUGUUUCCAUGUCUUGGUUUCUGGCUCUGUCACCUUUGGGACCCGCUUCUAACCGUCUUCAACCUUGCGUUGAGACAACGUUCGAGCAUGUCUCCCUUCUCGGGAAGCUCCCUCGACCCCACGAACCCUNGA
rnacentral:rRNA from 1 species